UGGGGAAUAUUGCACAAUGGGCGCAAGCCUGAUGCAGCCAUGCCGCGUGUAUGAAGAAGGCCUUCGGGUUGUAAAGUACUUUCAGCGGGGAGGAAGGGAGUAAAGUUAAUACCUUUGCUCAUUGACGUUACCCGCAGAAGAAGCACCGGCUAACUCCGUGCCAGCAGCCGCGGUAAUACGGAGGGUGCAAGCGUUAAUCGGAAUUACUGGGCGUAAAGCGCACGCAGGCGGUUUGUUAAGUCAGAUGUGAAAUCCUCGGGCUCAACCUGGGAACUGCAUCUGAUACUGGCAAGCUUGAGUCUCGUAGAGGGGGGUAGAAUUCCAGGUGUAGAGGUGAAAUGCGUAGAGAUCUGGAGGAAUACCGGUGGCGAAGGCGGCCCCCUGGACGAAGACUGACGCUCAGGUGCGAAAGCGUGGGGAGCAAACAGG
rnacentral:rRNA from 1 species